GUCUACUGCCACAUCACCUUGAAUGUGCCAAUCUCAUCUAAUCUCAGAAGCUAAGAAGGGUCAGACCUGGUUAGCACUUAGAUGGGAGAAGACUGUUACCCUUUUUCAUGUGUGUUGACCAAGGGAGGCU
rnacentral:rRNA from 1 species